GUUCAUUUCUCCUCUAUCCUCUUUCACAGGUGAUGCUUCUAAGGCAAUGCUGCUAAUUCUAGAGAUGCUCAGAGGUCAUGGUUUGGGCUGAACUGGUGCUGCAGAAGAGGCCUCUAAGUAAGGUAUGUAUCAAGAACUGGAUGCUGUUCAUUACUAAGGCUGUCUAAUGCCAAUGGAUAUUGCCAUGACAUUAAAGUUGAAUAUAUCUCCAGGAGAGGAUGAGAGACUUCUGUGUUGCCUUGAAUUCAUUGAAAUAAAAGUGUUGUAUAGAUGCAACUAAUAAAUCUUCUAAACUUAAAAAUAAAUGAACUGGCUGAACCUUCAAGUGACUUGGAAGAGAAGCUCUUGACUGUGAUGUUCAUCAUGUAUUCUUCAGUAGCUGCUUCAUUUGAAGAAUGGAGAUAAAACCUUAGAAGACCAUUUGGUUGAAGACAAAUUAAAAGAAGAAAUACAACUUUAUUUAAUCCAAUCUGAUUCUUGCUUUAAAACACACAUAAAGAAAUGACAAUCUUUUUGGAAUCUUAAAUUACUGCUAACUAAUGAACACCACUUAGUCAUUCUCUAACACCAUUUGUGAAUUCUAAUUACUUCUGUAGUUUGUCAUUGUUUAACUCAAUUAAAGCUAAUUGACCAGAGAUGUAUAUUUUUUUUCCCAUUGGGUGAUAUUGUUGUAGACUGCAGCAACGUUUUAGUGUUAUUGUUCUAGUUUCUUUUUAAACACCCCAAACUUCUCUGCAUCAUUAAAUCUUAAAUUGGACUUUGAAAAGAAGCAUAUUUUAUUACAAUAAUGAUAUGGAAAGGAAUAUUCACUGCUUGGUAAAAAUGCACUAGAAGGACAAAUAUCUAGGUCUCCAUUUGAUUGUCAACUAUUUUUCCCCCAGUGCAGCUUUGAUUCCAAAUGAAAUAUUCUCCUUCAUAAUAAGUCUGUUAUAAAAGUCAAAAGCAAGAGCAGGGCUUAGUGUUAAGUAUCACUAAGUAUCACUGCUGCUUCUUUUCAGUAAAAAAAAAUCUUAAAAUUUAUGUAGUAUUAUUAUCCAUACUUAACUAUUAGUGGGCUGUACAAAUAGAUCUAUGAUUAGUAAUUUGUAGUUUUUAUGCUUUUUAUAUGCUCAUUGAAAUCUGUUUUUCCACAAUUUAUGUACUUUACAUUUAUAUACAUUUUAUGUACUUUACAUGUUUCCCUGCUUCCCCACAGUUUUUCCCCCUAUAGAUUUCUACAUGGGAAAUUUCCACCCCUCCCAUAGAAAUCAGACACUGGGAGACUGAUAGACAUGUGGA